UACGUAGGGUGCGAGCGUUGUCCGGAAUUAUUGGGCGUAAAGAGCUUGUAGGCGGUUUGUCGCGUCUGCUGUGAAAAUCCGGGGCUCAACCCCGGACUUGCAGUGGGUACGGGCAGACUGGAGUGUGGUAGGGGAGACUGGAAUUCCUGGUGUAGCGGUGGAAUGCGCAGAUAUCAGGAGGAACACCGAUGGCGAAGGCAGGUCUCUGGGCCACUACUGACGCUGAGGCGCGAGAGCGUGGGGAGCAAACAGG
rnacentral:rRNA from 1 species